rnacentral:tRNA from 1 species
GCUCUCAUAGUAUAAUGGUCAGUACACGUGAUUCUCAGUCAUGAGGUCGGGGUUCAAUUCCCCGUGGGAGUAC